rnacentral:rRNA from 1 species
CACUGGGACUGAGAACUGCCCAGACUCCUACGGGAGGCUGCAGUCGAGAAUCAUUCGCAAUGGGCGAAAGCCUGACGAUGCGACGCUGUGUGAGUGAUGAAGGCCUUCGGGUCGUAAAACUCUUUCGCUUGGGAACAAGAGAGGUAGAUUAAUAAUCUGCCGAUUUGAGGGUA